CCUUUGGACUGCUACAUUAAACUAGAGUAGAAAUUGAAUUUCAAAAUAGAGCAGGAGGAAAAAGGAA
rnacentral:sRNA from 15 species